AACGCGAAGACACUUACCUGGUCUUGACAUCCACGGAAUUUGGCAGAGAUGCCUUAGUGCCUUCGGGAACCGUGAGACAGGUGCUGCAUGGCCGUCGUCAGCUCGUGUUGUGAAAUGUUGGGUUAAGUCCCGCAACGAGCGCAACCCUUAUCCUUUGUUGCCAGCGGUUAGGCCGGGAACUCAAAGGAGACUGCCAGUGAUAAACUGGAGGAAGGUGGGGAUGACGUCAAGUCAUCAUGGCCCUUACGACCAGGGCUACACACGUGCUACAAUGGCAUAUACAAAGAGAAGCGACCUCGCGAGAGCAAGCGGACCUCAUAAAGUAUGUCGUAGUCCGGAUUGGAGUCUGCAACUCGACUCCAUGAAGUCGGAAUCGCUAGUAAUCGUGGAUCAGAAUGCCACGGGAAUACG
rnacentral:rRNA from 1 species